UACAGAGGGCGCGAGCGUUGUCCGGAAUUACUGGGCGUAAAGGGCGCGUAGGCGGCCCGCUAAGUCGAACGUGAAAUCCCCCGAGCUCAACUCGGGAACUGCGUCCGAUACUGGCGGGCUUGAAUCCGGGAGAGGGAUGCGGAAUUCCAGGUGUAGCGGUGAAAUGCGUAGAUAUCUGGAGGAACACCGGUGGCGAAGGCGGCAUCCUGGACCGGCAUUGGACGCUGAGGCGCGAAAAGCUGAGGGGAGCAAACAGGG
rnacentral:rRNA from 1 species